rnacentral:rRNA from 1 species
UGGGGAAUAUUGCACAAUGGGCGCAAGCCUGAUGCAGCCAUGCCGCGUGUAUGAAGAAGGCCUUCGGGUUGUAAAGUACUUUCAGUCGGGAGGAAGGUGGUAAGGUUAAUAACCUUAUCAAUUGACGUUACCGACAGAAGAAGCACCGGCUAACUCCGUGCCAGCAGCCGCGGUAAUACGGAGGGUGCAAGCGUUAAUCGGAAUUACUGGGCGUAAAGCGCACGCAGGCGGUUGAUUGAGUCAGAUGUGAAAUCCCCGGGCUUAACCCGGGAAUUGCAUCUGAUACUGGUCAGCUAGAGUCUUGUAGUGGGGGGUAUAAUUCCAUGUGUAGCGGUGAAAUGCGUAGAGAUGUGGAGGAAUACCGGUGGCGAAGGCGGCCCCCUGGACAAAGACUGACGCUAAGGUGCGAAAGCGUGGGGAGCAAACAGG